UUCCAGCUCGCACUGGGUCUCUCGGUUCCUGGGAAGUCCCAACAGAGGGACAUUAUGUCUGUCCACAUGGUCAGACGCAGCACUGGGCAGAACAUCACAGUGACAGCUGCACCCAACCUGAAUGGAGGCAUAUGUUUCUCAUGUGCUUUAGAGAAGUGUGACAGUCUGGGCCCCUCCAACUGUUCCUGCACCUACUAGACUCCGCCUCAGAGUUAGGAUCACAUUCCAGACGGAGACGCUCACUAAGGACGUGCUUUUGAAAAACUGCUCCAGCAUCAGAGGAAGCCCG